GAUCCUGGCUCAGGAUGAACGCUAGCUACAGGCUUAACACAUGCAAGUCGAGGGGCAUCAGGGUGUAGCAAUACACCGCUGGCGACCGGCGCACGGGUGAGUAACACGUAUCCAACCUGCCCUUUACUCGGGGAUGGCCUUUCGAAAGAAAGAUUAAUACCCGAUGGUAUAACAUGACCUCCUGGUUUUGUUAUUAAAGAAUUUCGGUAGAGGAUGGGGAUGCGCUCCGUUAGGCAGUUGGCGGGGUAACGGCCC
rnacentral:rRNA from 1 species